AUACGUAGGGAGCGAGCGUUGUCCGGAAUUACUGGGCGUAAAGGGCGCGUAGGCGGCGCUUCAAGUCGUCUGUCACAUGGAAGGGCUUAACCCUUUUUCGCAGACGAAACUGGAGAGCUUGAGAAGCAGAGAGGCAAACAGAAUUCCUGGUGUAGCGGUGAAAUGCGUAGAUAUCAGGAAGAAUACCAGUGGCGAAGGCGGUUUGCUGGCUGCAUACGGAAGCUGAAGCGCGAAAGCCAGGGGAGCGAACGGGAUUAGAUACCCCGGUAGUCCUGGCAGUAAACGAUUUAUGCUGGGUGUGAGACUAGCGAUAGUUUCGUGCCUAAGUUAACGCGAUAAGCAUACCGCCUGGGGAGUUCGGUCGCAAGAUGGAAACUCAAAGGAAUUGACGGGG
rnacentral:rRNA from 1 species